UUUAAACAGGUGAAAAACGUCAGCAUAGUUGUUGUAGGAGUUGGUAAAGAGAUAAAAAAAGCAAAAACGCAGUUCCUUGCAAUUGCUGGCAAAAAUGGGAAGGUCUUUCUGUACGAUAAUUUGCAAAAACUAUCUAAUCGUUUGGAUGAAAUCCUCGAAGCCGCUUGUGAAUAAAGAUGCUUCGUAUUUAGAAUGUGACGUCCACCAAGAGGGAAAUAACAAUGCAGGGAAGCUUUAAAUUAAAUGUUAAUUUGACAAAAUUAAUGUAUUUGCAGAUGAUAUUGGUGAUGGGUUAGAUGAAUACAACACCAAUCUAGUUA